GCCCUCGAGCAUGAGUUAUUACUCCAGUCCAAUCCUCUCACUUUUCAGAUGAGGAAAAUGAGGAAAGCUGGCUUGUCCUCCCAUCCCUACAUCCUAUGCCUCAGGUGGGCAAAGGUUCAUUUGGGGCAGGGAAGGUCAACCGCAGAGGAGCCUCACUGGGUUGCUGAAAGAGGCCAAGAAGGAGCUAGCUCUCAGGAAGCCACCUUUGACUCCAGACUCUCUCCAGGCUGCCGGGAUGCAGGCUGCUGGGGCCUGGCUCCCCCUCCUGCUGCCGUGUCUGCUCCUGCUGCUACGUACCUCCAAGGGCCAGAACCUGACUCAGAACUGCAGCCAGGACUUAGACAACAAGACUUGCAGUUGUCUGCUGCCCCACGAGCGGCAAAACUGCACUGACCGCAAACUCUCCGCCGGGCCCAUUGUGGGCAUCACCUUGGGCUUGGUGCUGCUGCUAGCCGGCGUCGCUGUGGGGACUGUCCUGGGGAUCCGCAGGAAACGGCGCCGGGAUGCCCUCGAGACCUGUCCUUGGAAGCCUUCGGAGAGCGGCUCGGCCCCGGGCUGGCAACCCCGUUAUAGCAGCCGGAGUGUCGGGCAGUUCACUGAGGCCACUACCCCCAGCCCCUCGGCUGCCCCAGGCCCAAGCAGCCCCGGGGCUCUGCUCUAUGAGAACUUGUUUCUGGGCUCCCAGCCUAGCAGCCAGAGCCCGAAUCCCAGGCAGAGUCGAGGGUCUUCGCCAGAUCCCGAGGCCCUCUACAUGAACUAUGAGGACAGCUCCAGGGCUGAGCAUCCCAUCUAUGGCAACGUGAAUAAUCUGACCUGCAUCCCGGAUCCCCAAGCGCCCCAUCAUCCUGAGGCUGAGGAUGAGGAUGAAUACGUGGUACCAGGGUGCUGAACUCUCCAGACCGGAAAUCCCGGAUCUAGAGACCAAGGCCAGCACCUAGACUCGGCCGGACUUUAUGCAAAUGAGCCAGCCAGCCAGCCAGCCAGCCGGGAACUGAAGAGAGUUUGGGCAGCCCCGAAAAUGUAAUAAAGAAAUUCAGUAUAGGCUGAAUUGUCUCCCC
rnacentral:lncRNA from 1 species